AUUGAACGCUGGCGGCAUGCCUUACACAUGCAAGUCGAACGGUAACAGGUCUUCGGAUGCUGACGAGUGGCGAACGGGUGAGUAAUACAUCGGAACGUGCCUAGUAGUGAGGGAUAACUACUCGAAAGAGUGGCUAAUACCGCAUGAGAUCUACGGAUGAAAGCAGGGGAUCGCAAGACCUUGUGCUACUAGAGCGGCCGAUGGCAGAUUAGGUAGUUGGUGGGAUAAAAGCUUACCAAGCCGACGAUCUGUAGCUGGUCUGAGAGGACGAUCAGCCAAACUGGGACUGAGACACGGCCCAGACGCCUACGGGAGGCAGCAGUGGGGAAUUUUGGACAAUGGGCGCAAGCCUGAUCCAGCAAUGCCGCGUGCAGGAUGAAGGCCUUCGGGUUGUAAACUGCUUUUGUACGGAACGAAAAGCCCUGGGUUAAUACCCUGGGGUCAUGACGGUACCGUAAGAAUAAGCACCGGCUAACUACGUGCCAGCCGCCGCCGUAAUAC
rnacentral:rRNA from 1 species